AUUGAACGCUGGCGGCAGGCCUAACACAUGCAAGUCGAGCGGAUGAGUGGAGCUUGCUCCAUGAUUCAGCGGCGGACGGGUGAGUAAUGCCUAGGAAUCUGCCUGGUAGUGGGGGACAACGUUUCGAAAGGAACGCUAAUACCGCAUACGUCCUACGGGAGAAAGUGGGGGAUCUUCGGACCUCACGCUAUCAGAUGAGCCUAGGUCGGAUUAGCUAGUUGGUGAGGUAAAGGCUCACCAAGGCGACGAUCCGUGACUGGUCUGAGAGGAUGAUCAGUCACACUGGAACUGAGACACGGUCCAGACUCCUACGGGAGGCAGCAGUGGGGAAUAUUGGACAAUGGGCGAAAGCCUGAUCCAGCCAUGCCGCGUGUGUGAAGAAGGUCUUCGGAUUGUAAAGCACUUUAAGUUGGGAGGAAGGGCAGUAAGUUAAUACCUUGCUGUUUUGACGUUACCAACAGAAUAAGCACCGGCUAACUUCGUGCCAGCAGCCGCCGUAAGAC
rnacentral:rRNA from 1 species